GGCGUGCGAUAGUUUGAUGGACUGUGACGAGAUUGAUCCGGGUUGCUUACGUUGGAUUAGGGAUGAAGCAACUUACGAUCUGUUUUGUCAGAAAACUUCUAACUUUACAACUUGCUACAAAGCAGUAACGGAAAAAUGCGAUAACGAAACAGUUGCGAAUGUUGUAAAAGCAAGAUUCCUAACUUCCGAAUACUUGUGCUCCACCGCAGAUAAAGUCGAUAUUAUUACGAUGGCUGGGUCCGAAUGUGUAUACAACAAGACAAAGUAUCAAGAGGUUGAACGUGGUAUAGAUGGUUGUAAUUCUAGUUUCG